rnacentral:rRNA from 1 species
GACGAACGCUGGCGGCAGGCCUAAAACAUGCAAGUCGAACGCCACGCAAGGGGAGUGGCGCACGGGUGAGUAACGCGUGGGAACGUGCCCUUCACUACGGGACAACGUCGGGAAACUGACGCUAAUACCGUAUAAUGACUCCGGUCCAAAGAUUUAUCGGUGAAGGAGCGGCCCGCGUCUGAUUAGCUAGUUGGUGAGGUAAUGGCUCACCAAGGCUACGAUCAGUAGCAGGUCUGAGAGGAUGAUCUGCCACACUGGGACUGAGACACGGCCCAGACUCCUACGGGAGGCAGCAGUUAGGAAUAUUGGACAAUGGGCGAAAGCCUGAUCCAGCCAUGCCGCGUGUGUGAUGAAGGCCCUAGGGUUGUAAAGCACUUUCGUUGAGGAAGAUAAUGACUGUACUCAAAGAAGAAGCACCGGCUAACUUCGUGCCAGCCGCCGCCGUAA